AUGUCCACAUCUUAAUCCCUGGAGCCUGUGAAUGUCACCAUCUUCAGAAAAAGAGUCUGUACAGAUAUAACCAAGGGUGAGCCAGAGGGAGAUGGGACAUGCAUACACAGAGGAGAAAGCGACAUGAAGACAGAGGCAGAGAAUGGAGGGAUGUGACCACAAGCCGAGGAAGGCCAAAGAUUACCAGCUGCCGUAGAUUACCAGCUUCCGGAAACAGGAAGAGGUGUCUCUCAAAUGAACAAUUUUGUGCAAGUCAAGCAUUCCCUGGAGUGGCCACUGAAAGUCCAAACGAUCCUUGGCGAAGUUAGGCCGUUUGGAAAGACAGGCACAAGGAUUUGGAUUCUAAUGAGAAUAAUCGAUCAGAGACAGGAGUUUUUCCUUGAGAAGGAGAGGACUUGGAGACCCCAUGGCAGCUGGCCGUGGUCUGUAGAAAGGUGAUGCUUUGACACCUUGUGUCUGUAGGACCUCAGCCUGAGAGUUGGCUGUCUCCAAAUGCAGACCUGACAAUUUGCACUCCCUGUGGAAAACCAGAGAGAAGACUCUCUCUGGACAAGGUAUUGAGAUGGAAGGAGACCCUCAUUCAGCUUUACUAGUCAUCCACAGCAGUUUGUCUGAAUGGAUUCUGGUGCAGUGAGAACCACAAACUCACCACUCUAUGAGGCUGGCUUGACCUACAACCUACAGGGGGCCUCUGUCUGUGUUCUGCCCUGUGAUUCUCCAUCUGGUGAGCAAGAGUUUUGACAGAACAGCACCAAAUGGAAGCACAAAAGAGAGGAACGUCCCAAUUCCACCAAGAAUGCAAACAAAGGAGACCCAGUCAAAAACCUGGGCACU